rnacentral:rRNA from 1 species
GUAGGUGGCAAGCGUCGUCCGGAAUUAUUGGGCGUAAAGCGCGCGCAGGCGGUUCUUUAAGUCUGAUGUGAAAGCCCACGGCUCAACCGUGGAGGGUCAUUGGAAACUGGAGAACUUGAGUACAGAAGAGGAAAGCGGAAUUCCACGUGUAGCGGUGAAAUGCGUAGAGAUGUGGAGGAACACCAGUGGCGAAGGCGGCUUUCUGGUCUGUAACUGACGCUGAGGCGCGAAAGCGUGGGGAGCAAACAGGAUUAGAUACCCUGGUAGUCCACGCCGUAAACGAUGAGUGCUAAGUGUUAGGGGGGUUUCCGCCCCCCUUAGUGCUGCAGCUAACGCAUUAAGCACUCCGCCUGGGAGUACGGCCGCAAGGCUG